UUCUAGAAGAUCAUCAUCAUGCUGAUGGCCUGCUGCACCCCGUCCAAGAAAAUCUCCACGACUAUGAACUCGACUAGUGUGUUUUUAAUUAUGUUGGCCAAUGAGACAGACAACAUACUGUCCAACUCAAAGAUGAGAUAUAAUCGUUUGGCCCUGUGAUUCUUCAGGACAAGAUCUUGAUGCCAUCCACACUCAGUACAUGACGAAGCUCCUGCGUCCAUUUGGGCUGAAGGUCGAGACAGAACCAAACCAAAGCUGGACUGUAACCUACUGGCCAUAUGACAGACUUCAUACUGACACCUACUGGCAUGGAUGCGGCAUCACAUGUUUUUCAACAAAACCUUUUUCACC